rnacentral:rRNA from 1 species
GAACGAGCUUUCUCUGUUCGUAAGAGGAGAGGGAGCGAGUGGCGGACGGGUGAGGAACACGUGGGUGACCUACCCUGGAGUGAGGAAUACCGGCGAGAAAUUGCCGACAAUACCGCAUGCGCUUCUUUGUCUGAGAGGAGAGAGAAGGAAAGUCUCGCGAGAGACGCUCUGGGAUGGGCCCGCGGCCGAUUAGCUGGUUGGUGGGGUAAGAGCCUACCAAGGCUGCGAUCGGUAGCUGGUCUGAGAGGACGAUCAGCCACACUGGGAUUGAGAACGGCCCAGACUCCUACGGGGGGCAGCAGUGAGGAAUUUUCGGCAAUGGGGGCAACCCUGACCGAGCAACGCCGCGUGCAGGACGAAGGUCUUCGGAUCGUAAACUGCUUUUCUCGGGGAAGAGAGUGGACGGUACCCGAGGAAGAAGCCCCGGCUAACUACGUG